AACAAACGCUGGCGGCGUGCCUAAUACAUGCAAGUCGAACGGGGAAAGCCUUCGGGUGAGUACCAGUGGCGCACGGGUGAGUAACACGUGGGUAAUCUGCCUUAGAGUGGGGGAUAACUAUCCGAAAGGAUGGCUAAUACCGCAUAAGACCACGAGAUCUAAGGAUCUUGAGGUCAAAGGUUUUUCGCUCUAAGAUGAGCCCGCGCAGGAUUAGCUAGUUGGUGAGGUAAUGGCUCACCAAGGCGACGAUCCUUAGCUGGUCUGAGAGGAUGAUCAGCCACACUGGAACUGAGACACGGUCCAGACUCCUACGGGAGGCAGCAGUAGGGAAUAUUGCGCAAUGGGGGAAACCCUGACGCAGCGACGCCGCGUGAGUGAUGAAGGCCUUCGGGUCGUAAAGCUCUGUUGCAGGGGAAUAAAAAAAUGAAUGUACCCUGCGAGGAAGGAUCGGCUAACUUCGUG
rnacentral:rRNA from 1 species